GAAUUUGCAUGGAUGCUAACAUCUGAAAAUGGUCUACCUGGCUCUACCUGCCUGUUUUCAGUGAAGCACUUUCCAUCUGUGAUGAAACAGCUGACUCAGGACACAACGGACCGUUGUGACGUCAAGUAACGAAGGCAGCAGCAGCAGCAUGUCUGUUGAGGCAGCUGCAGAGUGUCUGCCUCCUCAGAGGAGCCUGUGUGGGCUGCUCAGAUGAGAAGAAACAGAGAGCCUGCUUCAAGACUUGACCCUGGAAAGAGCCUUUUGGACCUGAGGCCAGGGCUGGUUUCUGAUGCUCUGAUGAUGCAGCAGGGCCAUCAUGAUGCUCAACUGCCAUGCCAUACCUACCUCUGACAUCUGCAGCAACAUGCACCCCACA